UUGAAAUUGAUUUUUAUAUCCUUUCUAGAAGGGGGAACCCAUGUUUCUUUGAUUAUCGCCUUGGCAAGUCCUUUCUCCUCUAAGUAGUCCAACUCUUUUAUAUAUCUAUGAAUGAAAAAAGCCAUAUCCUUACUCGAUUUGUUUAUUCGUUCAUGCACAUAUUUGUUCCUCUCCGUCCAUAAGACCCAAAAGGAGACAUAGAUCACUCGCCUCUAAGAGUUUAGACAAUUGUCAAAAGCCCAAGUAAGCCAUUCGAACCAGUCUUGAAUAUUAUUUGGUAUAUCAGCCACUAUAGAUUCACUAAUCUCCGUACUUCUGUUACAACAAGGCAGAGAAGGAAGACGUGGUGUAUUUUCUGCUUCUUUCCCACAUCGUGGACACUCUGUGUUUGUUACUAGUCUUUUAAAAUAAAGGUUUACCUUAGUUGGGAUGAAGUUUCUUGAGAUGCGUCAUACUGUAAUUUGAACUUUAGGUAGGAGUUUUAAAUUCCAUAGCGUUCGAUAGAAAUCUCUAGAAAUGAGUUGUAAUGUAUUUAAAUUAGGAGUAGGAAGGAGUAGGAAUACCCCAUCUGUAAUAGUUUGUAGGCACUGCGCAUCGAGAACGCUUCUAAUGGCUCAUCCCUCCAAGCUAGUUCAUCUUCAUAUGGAAUUGCUGCCAGUGGGAUUUGAAGGAUCCUUCUCGCAUCAACCGCAGUAAAA
rnacentral:lncRNA from 1 species